CUUCUGACGUAAUUCAGCGUUACGUAUGGCAUAUAAUAUUUAUACUAUCCAACGGGAACUGAAGUUCACAUGUUUUCAAUUUUAUACGGAUCCAGGGAUUAACAAAGCACAUAAUAAAACUCAAAAAUAGAGAAUAGCGUUACUGGAAGUACACAUGUAGAUGAUGUUAAAAAGGCAUCGUCAGAAUUCCGUCAGUCUCUAGAUAUGCAUAAAAGGUUGCGCUUGUUCCAAGUCUGUACAAAACUGCCAUUUGUCGAGUACAACGAGACCCGGGCAUUGCAAGUUGAGCAAUGAGCGCUCAGAAAAUUAUUUGCCAUUAGAAUUUUUGUGGAGCAUUUUCCACACCGAACGGAUGAUGGUGUUUGUAUAUCAGUAGGACUCUCAAAGGUCUCUGAAUAUCCUAAGACCCCAAGAAUGCCAGCAGACCAUGGGUACUACAGUCAUGCAUAAUGGAAACCGUUCCUUUUCUCUUCAGUUUAUCCCGGAUGAAUUUGUGCUCAGGGAACUGACAGCAAAGUGG